rnacentral:lncRNA from 1 species
ACUGCCUGCAUAUCGGUUAGGGUGACUAUAGCUCUUGACAGCUAUUACCCAAAUGUCAAUGGCCUAAUAUAAUAGGUUUAUAUUUCACCUAUGGGACAGUCGACUUGGGGUGUUUCUCGUUGGCAGAUAAAGUUACUCCAAAGGAUAGUUUAGGGGGAUUUUUCAUCAUUAAUCUCCACCAUUAGUUAAGACGUCCAUCUUCUGCACCCAGAAGGACACUGGGGGUGAUAACACACACUGAAAAGAAACCUGGUUUGGGUGUGAUAUGCAACAUUUCCAUGAACAUUGCUUUGGGAAGAGUGGGAAUGUAAGCACAAGGGAGAUCAGAUGAAAAAUGCAAUCCCUGGCCUGAUGGCUGUCUCCUAGUGGCAGGUCCAUGCAAUAGCAAGAAUUGGAAGACAGCUAGUUGCCACUACUGCAUCCUGCUCCUGGAGAAUCCAAGUCUGUGUCCAUCCUAUCUCCUACAGUUUAGAGCACUCCCAUCCAGCUCCAGGUCACACAUCCAUCUCUAAAUCCUGGAGUCUGAGCCACCGAGUCUGGGUAGGGUUCGCCAUGUCUCCAUGCCCAGAGAACCAGAAGCCUUGGGCCUAAUCUCUCUUCCAUCAACCCAGUGAAUGUCAUGGAGUAGAGGCUGGGUGCCUUUAAUAUCCCUGAGUCUGUUCUGUGAGAGAAAUCCUCUUGUGUACCUCGCCCCUGCUCCCAGACUCUGCAAUCUGGAAGAUCCCCCAACCCUCACCUUUCAGUGGCACAUCUAUGGGGCAGUGUCCCAAUCUUGAUUGCCUCUUUAUGGUGUAAAUGACAAGUGUUGACAGUAGUUUAAAAUUCCUACAUUAUUUAAAGGCUAGGAUUAUAGAUUCUUUGGUAUGGUAGUACGACUUUGUCAGAAUCUCAGCAAACUUCUCAUCUACUUGGAUUGUGCGGAGAAGAUGUUCAUGAAGUCGCCCAGAGCUCUUCCUGUCACAUAUGGCAAAGCCAGCCUAGUUUGUUUGCUGAUUUUUCUUCAUGUCUCUGAUUCCAAGAUUAAUGGAAACUGACCAUGAGACUAUUUCACACAGGUUAUGUUGGAAGAUGGCACCCUUAAUUCAUUCUCAGAUGCAGGGUGGAGUCACUGUGCUUAACUGUGAUGUCCUCAUUGAACUUAGUUAUGUAAGCAUUUUUCAUUCUAAUCUCUUGCUCUCUGUGGUCUGGCAGUUGGGAUUUAGUUUUAGGUCUUUAAAUGCUUGCCUUUUCCUUACAACUCUCUCUCUCCCCUACUCUCUGUCUCUGUUUCUGUCUCUCUCUCCUACUCUCUCUCUCUUCUUCCACUCUCUUUCUCUCCCCUACUCUUUCUCUUUCCCCCUACUCUCUCUCUCCUACUCUCUCUUUCUCCCCCUAUGCUCGCUCUCUCUCUCUCUCUCUCUCUCUCUCUCUCUCUCUCUCUCUCUUAUCUUUUUAUUUCUUUGUUAAAUACUGGCUUGUCCCAACCAUCAUCCCCAGACAUUCCCUGUAUAGGCAUGUGACCUGCCUUCCUGUGGUGGCAGAUUAGAGUUCUGGGUAGUUCUGAGUGGCAUAGUGGUGGCCUCCAUCACCUCAAUCUGUGAUCUCUAUUGCUUUACUCAGCCAUCCCAUAACUGGGCAUACAAUGCACAUGCUUUAUUUUGGCUACUGUGGUAUAAUGGUUAUUUUGCUGUUCAUACUGGCUUCUGCACAGUCUUUGUGCUCUGUGUCAGUGUCUCUGACUUUGCCAGACCUCAGCUAUUUCUUCGUCCCGUGGCUCCUAUGUCUGAACCCAAAUUUCUGGGCAUCUUGUAAUCUCUCAAAUGUUAGAUUAGA